rnacentral:tRNA from 1 species
ACUUAAAUAGCUUAUAUAGAGCAUUAUAUUGAAGAUAUAAAGGAAACUAAGGUUUUUGAGUA